rfam:Salmo salar isolate Sally breed double haploid chromosome ssa23, whole genome shotgun sequence.
CCCUGUGGCUCAGUCGGUAGAGCAUGGUGUGUGCAACGUCAGGGUUGUGGGUUCGAUUCCCACAGGGG